UACGUAGGCAGCAAGCGUUGUUCGGAAUUACUGGGCGUAAAGAGUGUGUAGGCGGUGCUCUAAGUUUGGUGUGAAAUCUCCCGGCUCAACCGGGAGGCUGCAUCGAAUACUGGAAUGCUAGAGGGUGGGAGAGGUAAGCGGAAUUCCUGGUGUAGCGGUGAAAUGCGUAGAUAUCAGGAGGAACACCUGUGGUGUAGGCAGCUUACUGGACCACUUCUGACGCUGAGACACGAAAGCGUGGGUAGCAAACAGG
rnacentral:rRNA from 1 species